AGUGAACGCUGGCGGUAGGCCUAACACAUGCAAGUCGAACGGCAGCACAGUAAGAGCUUGCUCUUACGGGUGGCGAGUGGCGGACGGGUGAGGAAUACAUCGGAAUCUACUUUUUCGUGGGGGAUAACGUAGGGAAACUUACGCUAAUACCGCAUACGACCUACGGGUGAAAGCAGGGGAUCUUCGGACCUUGCGCGAUUGAAUGAGCCGAUGUCGGAUUAGCUAGUUGGCGGGGUAAAGGCCCACCAAGGCGACGAUCCGUAGCUGGUCUGAGAGGAUGACCAGCAACGGUGGAGUUGAGCGAGGGCCCAGCCUCCGGCAGGAGGAAGCGGUGGAGAUUUGGGGACAAGGGCGUGAGGCCUGACCGACCCGUACGGGGGGGGAGAAAAGGGCUUUAGGGUUUAAAACUCCUUUUGUUGGGAAAGAAAGGCAGCAGCUUAAUCCCCCGUUUUUAGGACGGUACCAAAAAAAUAAGCCCCGGCAAACUUGGUG
rnacentral:rRNA from 1 species